rnacentral:rRNA from 1 species
UACGUAGGGGGCGAGCGUUGUCCGGAUUUAUUGGGCGUAAAGAGCGUGUAGGCGGCUAGGUAGGUCCGCUGUGAAAACUCGAGGCUCAACCUCGAGACGUCGGUGGAAACCAUCUGGCUAGAGUCCGGAAGAGGAGAGUGGAAUUCCCGGUGUAGCGGUGAAAUGCGCAGAUAUCGGGAAGAAUAUCCGUGGCGAAGGCGGCUCUCUGGUACGGAACUGACGCUGAGACGCGAAAGCGUGGGGAGCGAACAGG